rnacentral:lncRNA from 1 species
AUUAAUCAUCAAACUAGGAAUGAGCAUGAUCUUGAGGAUGAGGUUGAGGCCGAAUCUGAAAAUGAUGUUGAACUAGAGAAGAGCCUUACCAAGUAAAGGAAUAAGACUAUCCAUGCUGCCCAUCAGGAGAAGAGAAACUUUUCCUCGAGAAAUACAUACAUAUAAGGAUCAAUUCUACUUGCAUAGUACUAAAAAACUACUAGAAGUCAAAACACCUAGAUGAAAACGACACACAACACUUUGAAAUUUAUGCUUCAGACAUUGAUGAAAUUUUUAGUAGAA